ACUCCUACGGGAGGCAGCAGUAGGGAAUCUUCCACAAUGGACGAAAGUCUGAUGGAGCAACGCCGCGUGAGUGAAGAAGGGUUUCGGCUCGUAAAACUCUGUUGUUAAAGAAGAACAUAUCUGAGAGUAACUGUUCAGGUAUUGACGGUAUUUAACCAGAAAGCCACGGCUAACUACGUGCCAGCAGCCGCGGUAAUACGUAGGUGGCAAGCGUUGUCCGGAUUUAUUGGGGCGUAAAGCGAGCGCAGGCGGUUUUUAAGUCUGAUGUGAAAGCCUUCGGCUCAACCGAAGAAGUGCAUCGGAAACUGGGAAACUUGAGUGCAGAAGAGGACAGUGGAACUCCAUGUGUAGCGGUGAAAUGCGUAGAUAUAUGGAAGAACACCAGUGGCGAAGGCGGCUGUCUGGUCUGUAACUGACGCUGAGGCUCGAAAGUAUGGGUAGCAAACAGGAUUAGAUACCCUGGUAGCGUCGUC
rnacentral:rRNA from 1 species